rnacentral:lncRNA from 1 species
UUUUUAUUUUUUUUUUUUUUCUGGUCAGUUUAAAUGCCCUUCACCACUGACUGUGCUCUCUUUUGAGUCCGUCUUCAGAUACCAGGUUUCUAUAAUUGAAACCUAACUUGAAACCACCCUCAGAAUGGCACCAGAAGGGGAGUCCAUUUGGAAAUGGCUAUCGAUACAGUCAAGUCCUGUUCAAACCCAAGGGCUGUUGUUAGUUUGGGUUCUCCUUUUCCCUAUUGGAAAUGCAAGUUGUGCUCUUUAUCAAGGUUCAAGAAAAUGAGCUUUAAAGAUCAUCCUCAGAAACAGAAUCACCAAGAUGGAGCUAACAGAAGGCUCAUUAGCAUAAAGCUACAGGGUGAAGUGGAGCCUCUAAACUAGUUGUUUUUACGUUUAUCCUAAAUUUGUUCUAGAAUGUGUGAGGAUUAUUUAUAACGAGUAUGAAAACACACCCUUUCCAGAGAAUCUCAGCACCUUUCUAAAAGCAAAUCCUACGCCUCUUUGAAUGAGAUCUGACAACCUGUUAAGUCUCAUGAAUGAUUCCACACUGAAAGACCAUUUGGUUUAGAUGUGGCCAGCAGUCUUUUCAAAACCACUUCCCCAGGGGCACCUGGGUGGCUCAGUGGUUGAGCAUCUGCCUUUGGCUCAGCUCGUGAUCCAGGAUCCUGGGUCCCUGGAUCAAGUCCCGCAUAGGGCUCCCUGCAGGGAGCCUGCCUCUCCCCCUGCCUGUGUCUCUGCCUCUCUCUCUGUGUCUCUCAUGAAUAAAUAAAAUCUUUACACAAAUAAAAUAAAUAAAAUAAAAUAAAAUAAAAUAAAAUAAAAUAAAAUAAAAUAAAAUAAACCCACUUCCCUGGAUUUUGGACAAGGAAGGCUUGCAUUAAAGUGUGACGCUUUCCCUCCAAAGGGUCCACUGUACAAACACCUUUUUAUCUAAAGAUGCUGGAGUAGGAGUGUGAAGUCUUGGGUCUGCCUUCCACGUUACUAGCUACUGGUCCUCGGGUAGGUCACUUGGCCUCACAGGGCCUGCGCGUCUUCCUUCCUGACAACAGAGAUAGAUGCUUGGUAAAAUCAGCUUCCUCCAGCAGAAUUUAGGGUCUGGGACAGCAGAGAUUUUUUUUUUUCAUUAUGUCCUCCACUGUAUAAACCAGUGCCUAGUACCUGGCACAUGGAAGAAGCUCAGUAUUUGUCAAACAACAAACAUUUUUGAAUAAAAGCCUGACCAGGUUGCAAUGAUUAAUAAAUGGAACUAAAAGGCAUCAUAAAGUACAAAGAAUUACUAUUUUUAUUAGUGAUGUACCUCACUUCAAAAACAAUUGCUUUAUAUCUCACUGGUGAAGAGAAUUAGUAGGGCAAAACCUAAAGCUGAAUUAAUCCUCCAUGCCUCUGAUCCCAGGCACUUUGCUCGUCUCUCUCCAUCAGCAUGUUUUCUUAUGGGCUAACAUCAUUUUCUGAGUCCUCUGAAUUUUGAUGACAACUCAACAGAGCAGGGACCAGACAAGGAUCCAUUUUACACUCGGGGAAAUGAGGCUCUGACACGGAAGAAACAUGCUCAAGGCUGCAUGGCCUCUAAGCUGCAGACAUGAGCUCAGUUCCAGUCUGACUUGCAGCACACACAGUUGUGGGGACAGCUCAUCUCCCAACAGCACAAAAAAUGCCUGGACUCCCCUGCUGAUUCUGCAUCACAGUGAGCAGGAUCCGACAUCCACAUUUUGAAAAACGUCUACCAUAAACAGGCCUUGUUUGGAAAACAAUUUAUAUCUGAGUGUUGAAGAAAGAACACAACACAGAACUUUGAUUCAGUAUUUCCCCUUUUGGGAAUUUACACCAAGAGGAAGAAAGAAAAAGCCACGUUUGUUCAAUGAUGGUCAGUCACUGCAAGAUUUUUUUUUUUAAGGGCAACACUGGGCGUGAAUGAUCGAUAAUGGGGUAAUUAAGUGAAAUUCAGAAUAUAUUCAAGACAAUAGGAACGGUAAACGUCUGGGACAAUGCAGAAGUGCUUAUGUUAAGUGAAUAAGAGCAGAAUUUCGUCUCCUCCGAUCAAAACUGGGUGACUGGUUUAGACUGGGUCAGGAAGAAGGGUAUGAUUUAGUGGAGUUCAAUAAUGUGGCUGAAUUAUUUUUAUUUGCGCUCUGAAAUCUUUUAAACAUUAGAAAUCACACUUCCUCGUGCCCCAAAUCCCCAUUCUGCAUUUCCUUAUUUUUUACAAAAGCUACACAACCCAAACUGCGCCAGUAUCAAAAUAAGGGGGGGGGGGGAAUCCUCAUCAUCAGUGUUAAGAUACUAGGGGAAAACAUUUUCUAGUAAAAGAAUAUCUAAAAAUCAACAUCAAGGUCCUCACUCAACCUCCUCUAGGUGAGUUCUGGGUGGAAUUAAAAAAAAAAAAAAAAAAAAAAAA